UAGGGAAUCUUCGGCAAUGGACGAAAGUCUGACCGAGCAACGCCGCGUGAGUGAAGAAGGUUUUCGGAUCGUAAAACUCUGUUGUUAGAGAAGAACAAGGACGUUAGUAACUGAACGUCCCCUGACGGUAUCUAACCAGAAAGCCACGGCUAACUACGUGCCAGCAGCCGCGGUAAUACGUAGGUGGCAAGCGUUGUCCGGAUUUAUUGGGCGUAAAGCGAGCGCAGGCGGUUUCUUAAGUCUGAUGUGAAAGCCCCCGGCUCAACCGGGGAGGGUCAGUGGAAACUGGGAGACUUGAGUGCAGAAGAGGAGAGUGGAAUUCCAUGUGUAGCGGUGAAAUGCGUAGAUAUAUGGAGGAACACCAGUGGCGAAGGCGGCUCUCUGGUCUGUAACUGACGCUGAGGCGAGAAAGCGUGGGGAGCAAACAGG
rnacentral:rRNA from 1 species